GCUGGCGAACUCUCCCCACAGUGAGCGCAGCCGGCUUCCCCUCCGACACCGAGAGAGCGAGAGCGGGGAGCUGCACCCGAUCCACUUCCCCCAGCCAAAUCUCGCCUAUCUCUGCCCCUCAGAUAAGUGCAGCCAGGUGACACCAAUAGGGACUUUCAGCAGGUGAGCAUUGCUGCACCUGGAACUCCUAACGAGGUAACGGACCAGGCUGACCAGAAGGAAGGAGGAACUGGGGGAACCGUUCUGAUGUGUUGCUUCAGAGGAGAGAAAACUCUGCAAAAGCCUCAGAAGAAGUAUGGCUGUUUGAUCAUUUGAACAAGAACAGCUCAGGAACUGAAGGCUUUUUGGCAACUCUAAUGAUGCCCAGUCUCUUCUGAAGGAGAAAAUGCAAUAGCAGGCUGUGGAGCCUCACAAGCCUGUGCCAAGGUUGUCAGUGCUGUGAGUCUUCAGUUUGAAGGAGAGUGUACACGUGUGUACAUGCAUAGCCCAUCCUUCAUGGACUACAUCCACAUGAAUGAAUGUUCCUGGAACAUCAAGAGUUCCCAGGGCUGCAAGGCCCACUUCCCCACCAGCUCGCACUGAGAUGAACCAAAUGUGCAGUCAAAGGGAAAGCCCAAGGAUCAUGUGGAGAAUGGCUGCAAGUGUCUCUCCCCUUCAGACUAAAAAUGUAGCGCAUUGCAGCGGCUUGGCCAUGGUUUUCCAUAAAAAGACCACAUCUGGAAA